CCCUCGAUAGCUCAGUUGGAAGAGCGCGAGACUGUAAUGGUUGCUUAAAAAUCUUAAUCUCGAUGUCGCUGGUUCGAUCCCGGCUCGAGGGA